AGGACGAACGCUGGCGGCGUGCUUAACACAUGCAAGUCGAGCGGUAAGGCCUUUCGGGGUACACGAGCGGCGAACGGGUGAGUAACACGUGGGUGAUCUGCCCUGCACUUCGGGAUAAGCCUGGGAAACUGGGUCUAAUACCGGAUAUGACCUCAGGUUGCAUGACUUGGGGUGGAAAGAUUUAUCGGUGCAGGAUGGGCCCGCGGCCUAUCAGCUUGUUGGUGGGGUAAUGGCCUACCAAGGCGACGACGGGUAGCCGACCUGAGAGGGUGACCGGCCACACUGGGACUGAGACACGGCCCAGACUCCUACGGGAGGCAGCAGUGGGGAAUAUUGCACAAUGGGCGAAAGCCUGAUGCAGCGACGCCGCGUGAGGAUGACGGCCUUCGGGUUGUAAACCUCUUUCAGCAGGACGAAGCGCAAGUGACGGUACCUGCAGAAGAAGCACCGGCUAACUACGUAGCCAGCAGCCGC
rnacentral:rRNA from 1 species